AGCUCCAAUAGCGUAUAUUUAAGUUGCUGCAGUUAAAAAGCUCGUAGUUGGAUUUCGGGCGGGUGCUGCCGGUCCGCCUUUUGGGUGUGCACCGGUUGCGCCCGUCCUGCUGCCGGGGACGGGUACCUGGGCUUCACUGUCCGGGUCCCGGAGUCGGCGAGGUUACUUUGAGUAAAUUAGAGUGUUCAAAGCAGGCCUACGCUCUGAAUACAUUAGCAUGGAAUAACACGAUAGGACUCUGGCCUAUCCCGUUGGUCUGUGGGACCGGAGUAAUGAUUAAGAGGGACAGUCGGGGGCAUUCGUAUUUCAUUGUCAGAGGUGAAAUUCUGGGAUUUAUGAAAGACGAACUUCUGCGAAAGCAUUUGCCAAGGAUGUUUUCA
rnacentral:rRNA from 1 species